AGUGAACGCUGGCGGUAGGCCUAACACAUGCAAGUCGAACGGCAGCACAGUAAGAGCUUGCUCUUACGGGUGGCGAGUGGCGGACGGGUGAGGAAUACAUCGGAAUCUACUUUUUCGUGGGGGAUAACGUAGGGAAACUUACGCUAAUACCGCAUACGACCUACGGGUGAAAGCAGGGGAUCUUCGGACCUUGCGCGAUUGAAUGAGCCGAUGUCGGAUUAGCUAGUUGGCGGGGUAAAGGCCCACCAAGGCGACGAUCCGUAGCUGGUCUGAGAGGAUGAUCCGCCACACUGGAACUGAGACACGGUCCAGACUCCUACGGGAGGGCGCAGUGGGGAAUAUUGGACAAUGGGCGCAAGCCUGAUCCAGCCAUACCGCGUGGGUGAAGAAGGCCUUCGGGUUGUAAAGCCCUUUUGUUGGGAAAGAAAAGCAGCAGGUUAAUACCCCGCUGUUCUGACGGUACCCAAAGAAUAAGCACCGGCUAACUUCGUG
rnacentral:rRNA from 1 species